rnacentral:lncRNA from 1 species
CAGCUCAGCACCAGCCUCUUCAGGGACACGGGCAGCCCCCGCCGCCAGCACCAGCACCUCCAGCCCGCUGGCGAGAGCAGCGACCACGACUACGCCCUGCCCAGCCCCCGGCCCCGCGGCCUGGAGGAGGCGGCCGUGGGGACUGAGGCGGAGGAGGAGUGGGCGGCCCCCGGCGGGAUCUGCCUGCACGUGGACCGGGAUCAGGUGUCGGUGGAGUUCUGCUCCAUCUGUGCUCGGCGGGCGGCGGCCUCCUUCAAAAUGUAGGGUCAAGUACCUGCUGCAAGUACUCGUGGGGUUCUCACCCCUAAGGGCCUCGCGUCGCGGCGGAGGAAACAGGCGAUGUUUCUCUUUUAGGUGCUUGCCCUGCCAGGCUCCGUUGUGUAGGGGUUAAAGAACAGUCGUUUUCCACCUCGCAACCUGUGGAUUCAGCUGUGUUGGGGCAGAAGAGACGGGACCAGCUGCUGGCCACAUUUCCUGCUUUAUUUUAAAAGGUAGUAUAAGAAAUGAGAAUAAAGAGGUAACAGGGCUUUUGCUGUCUUUGGUUAAAAAGAAAAAAGUUGAAUGCUGGGAUCAUUUACUGUCAUUCAAGAUUUAUUUUUUUUUUAAAGGCAAUAUCCUAUCAAACAGGUUUUACUCCACUGUAUGUAGAAUUCCAUCUGUUCAGGGUAUAUUGCCAGCACAAAAGAGACUUAGUGGGAUAUGUGUUACCUUACACCUCUGUGGUGGAUCAGCAGGGCUGUUCAAAGUUUCAGUCUUAAAUUGGGUAACUGCUGUAACUGAUGGGUUAUACCCGUGCCACGGGAGUCAGAGUUAACCACCAGGACCUGCACUGACUGAUAUGCAAAAUGGAAAUAAUUUAGAUUCAACCUAGGCUCAACCUGCCUAGCUCAGACUUCAUGAACAUGCUUUGUUUUGCAGUUUAUUGAAAAAAGAAAACCAUUAAUGUAGUAUAGGAUGUUACAGUGGCAUUUUCACAGUUACUUCAGUGUAGAAGUGGUUUUUAAGUUAAAUAUGCAUUCUUUCUUGUCGCAUCACUGCUAAAUGGCAGGGUCAGGGACUCAGUUCUUCUGGUCUCUGUGUGAACCCUCACAUUGCUCUGUCGUGACACGACCUGUGAGCUGUGUCUGAGAGCAGCUGAUUUUCUGACAUGCAAAACGAUGUAUUUUGGUAUAAGAACAAGGUUAAGUCCCAAGAAAGUCAGUGGCUGCAGGCAUUUGUAGUGCCUACUGAAUCAUAUUUAAACCAAAUAGUGGGGAGGAAGCUAUUUGAAACUCUUGACUGUACUAUCUGUAUGGUGUAUUAUUAAUGUAGCUUUUUGAAGUGAAAGCCUUGAAAUGAAAAAACUUAAUACUUGAAAAUAUAUUGUAAAUGUUUCCUUGUAAUUAUGUGCCAUCCAGAUAAGAAUGCAAUAUCAUAAUAAAAUCAGACUUGUUGAUCUUUCA